GAUGAACGCUGGCGGCGUGCCUAAUACAUGCAAGUAGAACGCUGAAGCUUGGUGCUUGCACCGAGCGGAUGAGUUGCGAACGGGUGAGUAACGCGUAGGUAACCUGCCUCUUAGCGGGGGAUAACUAUUGGAAACGAUAGCUAAUACCGCAUAAAAGUCGAUAUCGCAUGAUAUUGAUUUGAAAGGUGCAAAUGCAUCACUAAGAGAUGGACCUGCGUUGUAUUAGCUAGUUGGUGAGGUAACGGCUCACCAAGGCGACGAUACAUAGCCGACCUGAGAGGGUGAUCGGCCACACUGGGACUGAGACACGGCCCAGACUCCUACGGGAGGCAGCAGUAGGGAAUCUUCGGCAAUGGGGGCAACCCUGACUGAGCAACGCCGCGUGAGUGAAGAAGGUUUUCGGAUCGUAAAGCUCUGUUGUAAGAGAAGAACGAGUGUGAGAGUGGAAAGUUCACGCUGUGACGGAUCUACCAAAAGGCGCAUC
rnacentral:rRNA from 1 species